AGCGUAGGCGGCGUGGUAAGUCAGAUGUGAAAUCCCGGGGCUCAACCCCGGAACUGCAUCCGAUACUGCCGUGCUAGAGGAUUGGAGAGGUAGCUGGAAUUCUUGGUGUAGCAGUGAAAUGCGUGGAUAUCAAGAGGAACACUCGUGGCGAAAGCGAGCUACUGGACAACUCCUGACGCUGAGGCUCGAAGGCCAGGGUAGCGAAAG
rnacentral:rRNA from 1 species